GUCACUUUACGUCUUGGUUUUGGAGUAUCUGUUUUCUAUUGUGUGACUGCAGAAAGGGGAGAUCUCCUUGCGCUUGUGUGCUGAGCUGCAGAAGGAGAGCGUCCACAGAGAAGGGGAAGACGUACACAUCUUCAAGACUCUCAUGGAGGAUGACUCAGACAUCACUGUAGUGACCAGAGAGGUACAGUACAAGGAACAGUCUGAUAUCUUGCGGGGGACAAUGCUCAUGAUUUGUAUCUUUGUAUUUGUGUGUCAACAAUAGAGUUUAGCUUAAAGGGAUAGUUCAUUUAAAAAAAAAACGAUAUUAUUCUAUAAACUUUGUUUAUUAGUCCAGUGUUAAUAAGAUGUGUCAGCGGUCACAUUUUCAACAUGGAUCACUUUCAGUACAGAGCAAAAACUGUUCUGGGGUAUGUUAUUGGUUUGUACAGGUACAUGUAUGUUAUUGGCUUGUACAGGCACGUGUAUGUUAUUGGCUUGUACAGGUACAUGUAUGUUUCACUCUGUUGUUUCUCCCUGGUCUUGGUUGGUCCUGUGAGACACUGUGCCAGAGUGGGCAACACUAACGUCCUAAAGGAGAUGCUCAACAGUGUUCCCUCCAGUCGCCUGCAGAUGGCAGUCAACAAGCACUCCAAGAGGGUACUGUAGCUGUGGGUCCAUACAGAGCGGCUGGUCACCGUUGUUAUUGGCUGCUGAAAGGGGUCACAUAGAGGUGGUUAGAAUCCUGCUGCAGAACCACGCCAGGGUGGACGUCUUUGAUGAGGACGGCAAGGCAGCUCUCCACUUGGCAGCGGAGCGGGGCCACGAGGACUCUCCACUUGGCAGCGGAGCGGGGCCACUUGGCAGCGGAGCGGGGCCACUUGGCAGCGGAGCGGGGCCACGAGGACGUCGCUGACAUUCUGCUCUCCCUGUGUGUUUGACCCCCGGACUAAGCAGACCCCUCUCUACCUAGCUGGAUGUGUGCAGCAGUCUGCUCCACCUCCAGGCGGACAUCACUGCCACCGACAUAAGUGGUUGAACCCCACUCCACUACGCAGCCAAAGCAGGCUGUCUGGACAUGGUGCAGUUCCUGGUGGAGAGUGGGGCGUCCCACUGCAGUAUGCUGCCGGGGACAACCACCAGGGGACGAUCAGCUUCCUGCUACAAUGAGACAACAACAGCAUACUGAGACUGCUGGAGGACAGGAAGGUAAGAUGUGUUGAGGGCUAGGACCUGGUGACUGAGGAGGAUGCAGAGGAUCUGGUCCAGGGCCUGAUUCCCUGGACAUGCAAGCUCACAGCUCCCUGGGCCGGAUCAGGACCAACGGAUCCUACCUGAAGGUCCAGCCAGCCCCAGCCCCUCUCCCUCUCCCUCCAGCUCCAAGCUGACUGACCAGUCCCAGCCGCUCCCCCUCCAGUUGAGAACCACUGUGAUAGUGUAUAAACCAGUUGAGAACCACUGUGAUAGUGUAUAAACCAGUUGAGAACCACUGUGAUAGUGUAUAAACCAG